ACCGCUCUAGCUCAACGGCAGAGCAUCCGCCUGUUAAGCGGACGGUUCUAGGUUCAAAUCCUGGGAGCGGUG
rnacentral:tRNA from 1 species